AGAGUUUGAUCCUGGCUCAGAACGAACGCUGGCGGCAUGCCUAACACAUGCAAGUCGAACGAAGCCUUCGGGCUUAGUGGCGCACGGGUGCGUAACGCGUGGGAAUCUGCCCCUCGGUUCGGAAUAACAGUUAGAAAUGACUGCUAAUACCGGAUGAUGACGAAAGUCCAAAGAUUUAUCGCCGAGGGAUGAGCCCGCGUAGGAUUAGCUAGUUGGUGAGGUAAAAGCUCACCAAGGCGACGAUCCCUAGCUGGUCUGAGAGGAUGAUCAGCCACACUGGGACUGAGACACGGCCCA
rnacentral:rRNA from 1 species